UUCACAUUGGUUAACAGUUC
rnacentral:misc_RNA from 1 species